rnacentral:pre_miRNA from 1 species
CUCGUACUCCCUCCAUCCAAAAAUACUUGUCAUUGAAAUGGAUGUAUCUAGAUGUAUUUUAGUUCUAGACACAUCCAUUUUGAUGACAAGUAAUUCCGGACAGAGGGAGUACUUG